UGGUCAGGGUUUGUAGAUUGUCCUUUAUGUAAUGUGUUCACUUGUUUUUUCGAGUCUUUGUUUCAAGAGGGAUUAGCGGAAUCUCCUGCCUAGUCAGCCAUCUUGGUCCUGCCCCCGUGUCUGCCUCUUUAUGUGAUUUGAUAUUGACUGUUGUCUCUGAGCAAUCUAUAAGUUAUUGUAUUAGUUUAUUUUAUGCUUGCUUUUUGUAUCCUAGCUUCUUGCUUUGUUUAGUUUUGGUAUUCCCAAAUAAGCUGCUUGAGUGCGCUAGGUUGAUUAUUUUCACCUUUGAAGCUCUAAUGUACUAUCACCAGAUGGCUAGCAGUGUUACCAGGUAUAUGAGCCUAGGAGUUCAUUUACUUUUUUUGUAUGCAUUCAACUCAGGUGCCCAGGUAGUUGGUCAUAAAGUGUAAGGUACAGGCUCUGUCCUACAGUCUUAGAGGGGCAGGGGUUAUUGGUGUAGGCAGAAGUAUCUGGCUGCAGUAGGGGGUCAGGCUCUGAUCAAGGCAGAGGUCUGACAGCUGUGCUCUGAGUGUCUGUGAGGAAAGCGCAUCCCUGUUCUGUAGAGCACAUGGGUGGGUUCUGCAGAAGGGCAGUGGGUACCCAAUGCUUUUGGUUGUAAGUUCUGGGCGGUACUACUUAUCCUUGGAGCCCUAUCACAGGUGGCUAGGUAUUGUGGGUGGAGCCAGCAGUCCUUAGGCCCCUGAUGUGGGUAGGUGAAGACCCUGUUUAAUAGGCAAAGCAGUGUCAAACAUCAAACACCCAUCUUCCCACCGUUCAGCUGAAACAGUUGCAGUCUGGCAACAAGGGCCUAUUCUCCUGAAAUGGGCCCACACAGGUCCAUGCUGGGGUGAAAGGUAUUCAAAGCCCAUGGACUGUUUGUGCCUGAACAAGAGCUGCUUCUGUCCUGAGCUCCCCAGCUUAAUUGAGCUGGCAGAUUAUCUUUCCCCCAGUUGUGAACUUAUACCUUCUUCAAGGAUGGAAAAAUGGCUCAGAGUGGUACCAGGGCCUAUCUCAGGCCCAGGGAAGUUGACAGCCACUGAAGCCGGCUUGGGGGCUGGGGGCGUGGUAAAAUAAACACAAGUAAUUAGCUUUUGCUGAGAGUGCCGUUCUUCUCUUGUUCUGGAGGUGUGAGUAGUCUGUGCAACUUGCUGUCCUUCCCUGAGCUAAACGCCUCUGGAACGCUACUGCCAGCCCCGCUGCAGUCGCUCCAGGGAACGGUGCCUGAGGGUUCCUGGCUAUUCAGGUCCAGUAACUCCUCUCCACUUCUGAAUAGUCUCUCCCUCCCCCUGCCGCUGAGUCCGUUUUCUAACUUUGCCUUUGAUGCUCAGGGCUCCUAGCUUGUCAUAAAUAUAAUCGCUUCACUUGUUUUUUCUGGUUUUUUUUGUAAGAGGGAUCACUGGUGGUGUCUCAAUACUCAAAACUUCAUCAUUUCUUCCUUUCACUUUAGCUACUCGACAUUCAAGAGCAACGUUCAGAGUCUCUUCCGACAUCCGUUUUGGUCUUUUCUUUCUUUCCUGUCUUUUAAAGGAUCUCUUGCUUUCUUCAUGUGUGAUGUCCUUGAUGUCAUUCCACAACUCGUCUGGUCUUCAGUCGUUAGUGUUCAACACGUAAAAUGUGUUCUUGAGGUGGUCUCUAAAUACAGGUGAGAUAUACUCAAGGUCAUACUUUGGCCCCUUUUGACUUAUUCUAAUUUUCUUCAGUUUCAACUUGAUCUCCCAUAUGAGCAAUUGACACUCUGUUUCACAAUCAAUCCCUGGCCUUGUUCUGACUGAUGAUACGAGUUUUCCCAUCUUCUCUUUCCACAGAUGUAGUCAGUUUGAUUCCUGUGUAUUCCAUCUGGUAAAGUCCACGUGUAUAGCUGCCGUUUAUGUUGGUGAAAAAAAAUAUUUGCAGUGGAUGAGUCACUGGUCUUGCAAAAUUCUUUCAUGAGAUUUCUGGCGUCAUUUAUUUCAGCGAUGCUGUAUUUUCCAACUACUUUUCCUUCUUUGUUUCCAACUUUAACAUUCUAAUGACCAGUAAUUAUCAAUGCAUCUUGAUUGCAUGUUUGAUCAAUUUCAGGCUGCAGAAGUUGUUUAAAAUCUUCAAUUUCUUUAUCUUUGGCAUUAGUGGUUGGUGCAUAAAUUUGAAUAGUCAUAUAAACUGGUCUUCCUUGUAAGUGUAUGGAUUUUAGCCUAUCAGUGACAACAUUGUACUUCAGGCUAGAUCUUGAAAUGUUCUCUUUGAUGAUAUGUAACGUCAUUCUUUUGACUCUGGUGGAAUAUCCAUGUUUGUAAGACUGCUCACAGACUGUUUCACCAGAGAGUUUUCUGGUACUGCAAUAUCUACCACUAAUCUCUGUGAUCCCUGUGAAUUGGCAAAAUAAGAAUAGUGCUAUAGAUUUCUUCCAAAUACAGAAAACAUAAGUAUGAAAAUGUUCUUGCUGUUGAUUAUAUUCUUUACCAAUCUGUUUGUAUGGGAUUUUUGGUACUUCACUUGAAAAAUGAGUCCAAGGUACUGUGAUGUGAUUGUUUACUUUGUGUGGCCUUUCUAGCCAUGGUCUUAUAACAUCUAGCCUGGUACUUGGGCAGGACUGUGUGAUAGGGUAAUUGUGGCUCACCAAGGGGAUUGUUUAUUUUCCCUUCAAAGAGAACCAGUUCCAGAGCAAAGAGGAGGAUUCAACUCCCAUCAAGGAAGAACAGCCAAGAGCCGAGCGUAUAUUAUGGACCUGAGAUCCCUGCACUGAGAAGCUCCUAGAAGCAGGAGACUGAGAUAGAGAGAGGAAGCUGUAACCCUGAAGAUGCUUAAAUACAGACCAGAAGAGGAGUUUGGGGCUUGACACCUGACAUCUUAACACCAGUUCCUGUUUCUUGAGGAAGGAAGAGGUAAAAUAAAUCAACGUUUACUGUUUCCUUCUCCAUCCCCGGAAGUCCUGAUGAAGACCCUCUCAGAGAUGCAGCACACACAGAAUCCCAGCUGGAUUACAGACUUGAACCUGAAGACCUUAUGCAGAAUGACAAUUUAUGAACCACUAAGCUCAGUACUAAAGCAGCUUAAAUACAGACCAGAAGAGGAGUUUGGGGCUUGACACCUGACAUCUUAACACCAGUUCCUGUUUCUUGAGGAAGGAAGAGGUAAAAUAAAUCAGCGUUUACUGUUUCCUUCUCCAUCCCCGGAAGUCCUGAUGAAGACCCUCUCAGCUUCAACUUGAACGUGAAUAUGAGCAACUGAUCAUCUGUUCUGCAGUCAGCCCCUGCCCUGAUUCUGACUCAUGAUAUUGACCAAGUGAAGAGUGAUUCAGAGAAAAACAUGGAUAGAGUGUGACCUAAUUUCCAUAAAAACAAACAAAUGAAUGUACUUACAUGUGUCCCGGCAAAAAGAAGUGUGUAAAAGGGUACAUAUGUAUCUUUGGACACUGGACACUUCAGGGGAGCAGGUACAAUAUACUUAUGUGGGGAUGGCUCUUAUUAUAACUUCUAUAUACAAAUCUCUAUUGUUAAAUGUGUUAUAAGAAUGUAAAAGCUUUUAAAGUUUAAUAACAUCAUACGUGUAUGUGUGUGUAUUUGAAACUUUUUUUCUUUUGACUAUUUUAUA